rnacentral:misc_RNA from 1 species
GGUAGGUAUUCAAAUUUAACUUAUUGCUAAAUCUAUUGAUGCUGUUGUGAGAACUGGCAGGAGUUAUACAAUCUGGUGAACGCAGCGCUGAGAAUGCCAAAAUUGGUGUAGGAGGAUCAUUUUCGUCGGACUGCUUUGAAGUUGUAGCUUCUGUACUUGAAGUGGUUGAUCCAUUGUUAGAGAUUUUCAGAGCAGUAUAAAUGGGAAGGGUCGUCUUUUGGUUAAUUGCCAUCGCUUUAUGCUUCUUUCCAUCUUUAUGGCUAGUUAAAGCACUCUCCCCCAUAUUGCUGAGGAAGAUUGAUUGGUACCUUGCACAAAGUGCAAAAUGCAGAAUACGGAUCAGUUGACACUGGUCUCACCCAU